rnacentral:tRNA from 1 species
AAUGAAGUGCCUGAAUUUAAAGGGUUAUUUUGAUAGAAUAAAACACGUAGGAAUCUACCUUCAUUA